AGUGAACGCUGGCGGUAGGCCUGACACAUGCAAGUCGAACGGCAGCACAGUAAGAGCUUGCUCUUACGGGUGGCGAGUGGCGGACGGGUGAGGAAUACAUCGGAAUCUACUUUUUCGUGGGGGAUAACGUAGGGAAACUUACGCUAAUACCGCAUACGACCUACGGGUGAAAGCAGGGGAUCUUCGGACCUUGCGCGAUUGAAUGAGCCGAUGUCGGAUUAGCUAGUUGGCGGGGUAAAGGCCCACCAAGGCGACGAUCCGUAGCUGGUCUGAGAGGAUGAACAGCCACACUGGAACUGAGACACGGUCCAGACUCCUACGGGAGGCAGCAGUGGGGAAUAUUGGACAAUGGGCGCAAGCCUGAUCCAGCCAUACCGCGUGGGUGAAGAAGGCCUUCGGGUUGUAAAGCCCUUUUGUUGGGAAAGAAAAGCAGCAGGUUAAUACCCCGCUGUUCUGACGGUACCCAAAGAAUAAGCACCAGCUAACUUCGUG
rnacentral:rRNA from 1 species